AUGACGUCCGUGUUUAUGCUUUAACGUGUGUUUACGUUGCAUCCAGCAUCCUAAAAUAAUGACGAUAUUUUCCAGUCAGAUCGAAUCACAGCAAAUGAUUUAACCGUGUUUGUAGAUGGUGCAGUAGAGUGUCCUGAAGACUCCAGAUCCUCCACUUCCUCCCCCUCUUGAUCCAGACCCAUAUAAUGUGGCCCCUCUAUACCUAUCAUCACCUACUAGCCUUUCUCCUCACGUUCCUCAGCUAUGUCCUGCUUCACUCGUCACGAAAGACUUUUAGUAAUGUGAAAGUGAGCAUCUCAGCACAGUGGACGCCAUCAGCAUUGCAGCAGAAUGGCAGCACUUCAUCUUUGUCUCCUGGGGAGACAUGGGAGGAAAACAAACUGUUUGCUGAUGUGGGAGAGGCCACACUGUUCCUGGGUGCUCUGGACUGAAUCUUUCUCUUCUCUUAUGCUAUGGUAAG